AGCCUCAUUGUAGAUUAGAACUGGCACUGUUGAUUGGUGUCCAGAAUUAGUCAGUGUGAUUAAAAUCGAGACCCAGGUCAUGCUUCUGUCACAGUAAACUUAUUACAGUGGUGACGAUGAGACCUGUAACAUUC
ensembl:snoRNA